CAGAUCUCUAUUAUUUUGAAGAAAUCCACAUUUGUCCUGCAGACAGUGUAGGGAGAAGUUAUUCCUCACUGUAGUGGCAUCAGAAGAUACCCUCAGCGGGAUUACGUUAUAUGAAUGAGUUUGAUAGGAGUCACCAUGGUGAGGAAAGGAUAAUGGAAUUUCAGGUCUGUGCUGGUCUGCAUUAAUUAAAUGUAG